rnacentral:rRNA from 1 species
UACAGAGGUCCCAAGCGUUGUUCGGAUUUAUUGGGCGUAAAGCGUGCGUAGGCGGUUACAAAAGUCUGGUGUUAAAGCUAGGGGCUCAACCCCUGUGAUGCACUGGAAACUAUGUGACUUGAGUGCGGUAGGGGAAGGUGGAAUUCCGAGUGUAGCGGUGAAAUGCGUAGAUAUUCGGAAGAACACCGGUGGCGAAGGCGACCUUCUGGGCCGCAACUGACGCUGAGGCACGAAAGCCUGGGGAGCGAACGGG